rnacentral:rRNA from 1 species
AGAUGGUUUCGGCUAUCACUUACAGAUGGGCCCGCGGCGCAUUAGCUAGUUGGUGAGGUAACGGCUCACCAAGGCAACGAUGCGUAGCCGACCUGAGAGGGUGAUCGGCCACACUGGGACUGAGACACGGCCCAGACUCUACGGGAGGCAGCAGUAGGGAAUCUUCCGCAAUGGACGAAAGUCUGACGGAGCAACGCCGCGUGAGUGAUGAAGGUUUUCGGAUCGUAAAACUCUGUUGUUAGGGAAGAACAAGUACCGGAGUAACUGCCGGUACCUUGACGGUACCUAACCAGAAAGCCACGGCUAACUACGUGCCAGCAGCCGCGGUAAUACGUAGGUGGCAAGCGUUGUCCGGAAUUAUUGGGCGUAAAGCGCGCGCAGGCGGUUCCUUAAGUCUGAUGUGAAAGCCCACGGCUCAACCGUGGAGGGUCAUUGGAAACUGGGGAACUUGAGUGCAGAAGAGAAGAGUGGAAUUCCACGUGUAGCGGUGAAAUGCGUAGAGAUGUGGAGGAACACCAGUGGCGAAGGCGACUCUUUGGUCUGUAACUGACGCUGAGGCGCGAAAGCGUGGGGAGCAAACAGGAUUAGAUACCCUGGUAGUCCACGCCGUAAACGAUGAGUGCUAAGUGUUAGAGGGUUUCCGCCCUUUAGUGCUGCAGCAAACGCAUUAAGCACUCCGCCUGGGGACUACGGCCGCAAGG